UAUUAUAUAUUUUUGACUGCCUAGUAAGAUUCCUAGGAGUUUUCCUGUUCAGGUUCAUUGAUAUCCAACACAAGAGCCAAAAGUUUCUACAGAAACAUAGGUUCAGGACUGGUACACAAAGAAUGAAUUUAACGCAGACAGCAAAAGAAAGAAAACAAUCUUUUUUCACACAAAUCAAGUGAAAAGCUAAAGGAACAAGAGAUUAAAUUAUAGAAAUGCCCAACUUAUGUGUAUAUUCUAACAAAAACUGUAGUAAAGUAUUCUGCAUGUCCAUGAAUUACACACUUCAACCAAUGGUUUACAUCAGGGAUUCCCAACUGGUGGGCCAUAAGAUGUGCAGUUAUGUGUCACAUGGGAUGGGACAACUGUGACUGCUCUAAACUAGUGAGUUGUUAACUGCAUGUGUAGGCCUUUAUUAUUGUGUCAAAUAUCUAAGUGGGUCUUGAAGUGAAAAAAGGUUGAGAAACCCUGGAUUACAUAGCUUGAACAUUUAGCUAUGCUCAUUACUAGGUUGUGACAAUCCUCUUGUAGUGCUGCAGGCAGCCCUCCACAUUUGGCCAAUGAAGAUGCACAUUGAAGAAGUACUUAUAGAUUUCAUAUACAUUAAUUAGCACAAAGACUCACCUCCAGCCUCUGCAGGUGAUCUCUGGUGAUUAUUAGGCCUAUGUCGUCGAGUAUGUAACAGACAUAUGAUCACUGUAACAACCAUCACUAUAACAACAGCACAAACUACAGGAAUAAUUAGGGUAAGCCACCUGUACAUUUGUGUUUGUGAACUUGUU